rnacentral:rRNA from 1 species
GACGAACGCUGGCGGCGUGCCUAAUACAUGCAAGUCGAGCGAAUCACUGGGAGCUUGCUCCCGGUGGUUAGCGGUGGACGGGUGAGUAACACGUGGGCAACCUGCCUGUAAGACUGGGAUAACACCGGGAAACCGGUGCUAAUACCGGAUAAUCCUUUCCUGCACAUGCAGGAAAGCUGAAAGUCGGUUUCGGCUGACACUUACGGAUGGGCCCGCGGCGCAUUAGCUAGUUGGUGAGGUAACGGCUCACCAAGGCGACGAUGCGUAGCCGACCGGAGAGGGUGAUCGGCCACACUGGGACUGAGACACGGCCCAGACUCCUACGGGAGGCAGCAGUAGGGAAUCUUCCACAAUGGACGAAAGUCUGAUGGAGCAACGCCGCGUGAGCGAUGAAGGCCUUCGGGUCGUAAAGCUCUGUUGUUAGGGAAGAACAAGUACCGGAGUAACUGCCGGUACCUUGACGGUACCUAACCAGAAAGCCACGGCUAACUACGUGCCAGCCGCCGCAGUAA